CCAAUAGCGUAUAUUAAAGUUGUUGCAGUUAAAAAGCUCGUAGUUGAAUUUCGGGAUUGGCAUAUCGGUCGUGUCUUCGGACAUGUACUGGUAGUUGUCAAUCUCCACCUUCUAGUGAACUAUUAUGCCUUUCACUAGGUGUAAUAGGGAGCUAGGACUGUUACUUUGAAAAAAUUAGAGUGUUUAAAGCAGGCUUUAUGCUUGAAUAGAUUAGCAUGGAAUAACGAAAUAGGACGGCAUGAUUCUAUUUUGUUGGUUUCUAGGAUCACCGUAAUGCUUAAUAGGGAUAGUUGGGGGCAUUAGUAUUCAAUUGUAAGAGGUGAAAUUCUUGGAUUUAUUGAAGACUGACUACUGCGAAAGCAUUUGCCAAGGAUGUUUUCAUUAAUCAAAAACGAAAGUUAGGGGAUCGAAGACGAUCAGAUACCGUCGUAAUCUUAACCAUAAACUAUGCCGACUAGGAAUCAGACUCAGUUUAUUUUUUAAUGACGAGUUUGGCACCUUACG
rnacentral:rRNA from 1 species